GAUGAAGAACGCAGCGAAAUGCGAUAAGUAAUGUGAAUUGCAGAAUUUAGUGAAUCAUCGAAUCUUUGAACGCAUAUUGCGCCCGCCAGCACUCUGGCGGGCAUGCCUGUUCGAGCGUCAUUUCAACCCUCAGGCCUCGCGUCUGGCGUUGGGGCGCUGCGGCCCUCCCGCAGGCCCCCAAAUUUAGCGGCGGAUUCCCCGCGGCCCUGAGCGCAGUAGAGAGUAAAAACUUUAACGCUCCGGUGGCCGUGGCGCGGUUCUGCCUCUUUCCCAAUAGCGCCAAUAGCGCCACCCCCAAAAAAGUUGACCUCGGAUCAGGUAGGACUACCCGCUGAACUUAAGCAUAUCAAUAAGCGGAGGA
rnacentral:misc_RNA from 1 species